rnacentral:lncRNA from 1 species
AAAGACUCAGAAUUGCUCCUGGGCUGACUGCUUGGUUCAAGUCUUCUUUAUAAUAUACAAAGUUGUUUUAGCUUUUUGACCGUAGCUUUGUAAUGCCAUGGAGUAGCCUAUAGUCCAUACAGGGCCGUCGUUCACCCUCCUCCACCUUGUCCCCUGCACUGGGAGGCAACCACAACAGGCACGGCCCAUGCUCCUGCACCACCUGGCUUCUGCUUGGGUGUGGAUGAUAACAGGCACCUGCAGGAGAUGGGAGCAUGCGGGGAGAAGUAACUCAGGGUUUUCAUUUCCCUCACUCCCUCUGGACAGCUCUGUGGUUCCGUAAUCAUUGCCGUCCUCUACCUACAGCCACAGGCAUGUGGGUCUGCCCCUAGUGAAAGCUACAGAUUUCCUUGGGUUCUGGAAACUGCUCCCUUCGUUGCUCUUUCAAGCUUCAAGAUGAAAACAGUUUCCUGCCAGGAAUAAUCCCAGGGAGCUUCAGCGCCCUUUGUGGCUUUCUUAGCCCUGCCGGCACCUGUGUAGAAGGUGCCAUCUCAGGCCAGCGCGGUGGCUCAAACGUGUAAUCUCAGCACCUUGAGAGGCUGAGGCCAGAGGAUCACC